GUAGCUGUAAAAACUGUAGCUGUAUCAACCACAAGAGUAGACUGAGACUCAUGAUCAUCAACUCUCAGCAAGAAACUGACCUAAAGUUCACUUUGUAAACUGUUGUUCCUUUUUAGCAGGCUUGUUCACAAAGGACAUAGUGAAGCUAGUCCAGGCUUUUAGACAUUGCAACUGACAAGAAAAGAACACUGAAAUAGCACUAAAUAAUGAAAUGAUUAUGCUUUCUAGUGUUGCUGUGGUGGCCCACUGUGAUUGGCACCAAAGUCUUACCACCUCGAGCUCCUCCUUUAUUUAGUCUCUCUUCAUCACCUUGUUAUCAGCCUGCCAUUUAUGCAUUCAUAAUUAUAAGAUUUUCAUAAAAAAUUGAAAUUAUAAUUG
rnacentral:lncRNA from 1 species